UGGGGAAUUUUGGACAAUGGGGGAAACCCUGAUCCAGCCAUCCCGCGUGUGCGAUGAAGGCCUUCGGGUUGUAAAGCACUUUUGGCAGGAAAGAAACGUCGCGGGUUAAUACCCCGCGAAACUGACGGUACCUGCAGAAUAAGCACCGGCUAACUACGUGCCAGCAGCCGCGGUAAUACGUAGGGUGCAAGCGUUAAUCGGAAUUACUGGGCGUAAAGCGUGCGCAGGCGGUUCGGAAAGAAAGAUGUGAAAUCCCAGAGCUUAACUUUGGAACUGCAUUUUUAACUACCGGGCUAGAGUGUGUCAGAGGGAGGUGGAAUUCCGCGUGUAGCAGUGAAAUGUGUAGAUAUGCGGAGGAACACCGAUGGCGAAGGCAGCCUCCUGGGAUAACACUGACGCUCAUGCACGAAAGCGUGGGGAGCAAACAGGAUUAGAUACCCUGGUAGUCCACGCCCUAAACGAUGUCAACUAGCUGUUGGGGCCUUCGGGCCUUGGUAGCGCAGCUAACGCGUGAAGUUGACCGCCUGGGGAGUACGGUCGCAAGAUUAAAACUCAAAUGAAUUGAC
rnacentral:rRNA from 1 species